rnacentral:rRNA from 1 species
CCUACGGGAGGCAGCAGUAAGGAAUAUUGGUCAAUGGACGGAAGUCUGAACCAGCCAUGCCGCGUGCAGGAAGACGGUCCUCUGGAUUGUAAACUGCUUUUGUUAGGGAAGAAACUUCCGUAUGUGUACGGGACUGACGGUACCUAAAGAAUAAGGAUCGGCUAACUCCGUGCCAGCAGCCGCGGUAAUA